rnacentral:tRNA from 1 species
AACUUUAGGUGCAGAAGCUUAUGGGUUUAGUCUGUUCGACUAAUAAAAUUUUACAUGAUCUGAGUUU